rnacentral:rRNA from 1 species
CGUGCUUAACACAUGCAAGUCGAACGAUGAACCCGGAGCUUGCUCUGGGGGAUUAGUGGCGAACGGGUGAGUAACACGUGAGUAACCUGCCCUGGACUCUGGGAUAACCCCGAGAAAUCGGAGCUAAUACCGGAUAGGACCUGGAACCGCAUGGUUUUGGGUGGAAAGUUUUUUCGGUCUGGGAUGGACUCGCGGCCUAUCAGCUUGUUGGUGAGGUAAUGGCUCACCAAGGCGUCGACGGGUAGCCGGCCUGAGAGGGUGACCGGCCACACUGGGACUGAGACACGGCCCAGACUCCUACGGGAGGCAGCAGUGGGGAAUAUUGCACAAUGGGCGAAAGCCUGAUGCAGCAACGCCGCGUGAGGGAUGACGGCCUUCGGGUUGUAAACCUCUUUUAGUAGGGAAGAAGGGCUUCGGCUUGACGGUACCUGCAGAAAAAGCACCGGCUAACUACGUGCCAGCAGCCGCGGUAAUACGUAGGGUGCGAGCGUUGUCCGGAAUUAUUGGGCGUAAAGAGCUCGUAGGCGGUUUGUCACGUCUGCUGUGAAAUCCCGAGGCUCAACCUCGGGCCUGCAGUGGGUACGGGCAGACUGGAGUGCGGUAGGGGAGAUUGGAAUUCCUGGUGUAGCGGUGGAAUGCGCAGAUAUCAGGAGGAACACCGAUGGCGAAGGCAGAUCUCUGGGCCGUAACUGACGCUGAGGAGCGAAAGCGUGGGGAGCGAACAGGAUUAGAUACCCUGGUAGUCCACGCCGUAAACGUUGGGCGCUAGAUGU